rnacentral:rRNA from 1 species
CUACGUGCCAGCAGCCGCGGUAAUACGUAGGUCCCGAGCGUUAUCCGGAUUUAUUGGGCGUAAAGCGAGCGCAGGCGGUUAGAUAAGUCUGAAGUUAAAGGCUGUGGCUUAACCAUAGUACGCUUUGGAAACUGUUUAACUUGAGUGCAGAAGGGGAGAGUGGAAUUCCAUGUGUAGCGGUGAAAUGCGUAGAGAUGUGGAGGAAUACCGAAGGCGAAGGCAGCCCCUUGGGAAUGUACUGACGCUCAUGUGCGAAAGCGUGGGGAGCAAACAGGAUUAGAUACCCUGGUAGUCCACGCUGUAAACGAUGUCGAUUUGGGGGUUGAGCUUUAAGCUUGGCGCCCGUAGCUAACGUGAUAAAUCGACCGCCUGGGGAGUACGGCCGCAAGGUUAAAACUCAAAUGAAUUGACGGGGGCCCGCACAAGCGGUGGAGCAUGUGGUUUAAUUCGAUGCAACGCGAAGAACCUUACCUACUCUUGACAUCCAGAGAACAUUC